UACAGAGGAGGCAAGCGUUGUUCGGAAUCAUUGGGCUUAAAGCGCGUGUAGGCGGGUCAUCAAGUGCUUUGUGAAACCUCCCGGCUCAACCGGGAGACUGCUUGGCAGACUGAUGAUCUUGAGGCCGGUAGAGGUGCCUGGAACUCUAGGUGGAGCGGUGAAAUGCGUAGAUAUCUAGAGGAACACCUGAGGCGAAAGCGGGGCACUGGGCCGGAACUGACGCUGAGACGCGAAAGCGUGGGGAGCAAACAGG
rnacentral:rRNA from 1 species